ensembl:rRNA 5S_rRNA 5S ribosomal RNA
GUGUGUGGCCCAACCUCCUUGUUAAAGCCUGAUCAGAUCUCAGAAGCUAAGCAGAGCUGGGUCUGGUUAGUACUUGGAUGAGACACCUCUGUUUUAAAAGUGUUGCUGUGUCCU